GGAAAAAUUAUUAUCACUGAUAGAGGUUGCAAGGCCAAUUAAUGCAGGGUCACUGCUUCGUCGUACAUGAAGAGGCAUAUCUGAAGUAAAACCAAUGUUUCUUGUGACAUGCAAAUAACUUUUAUAGAAGAACUACAUUUUCAUCAGCAUAAGGAGAUCUCAACCAAUGGAGAUUGCAAUCAUGGUCACAACUAUACAGAAGGGUCUUUGAGAACUCUACUGUGCAGCUAAGAAAUAGAGGAAUAAAGCACCUCAUAUCCUAGAAACGAUUUCCAAAGUAUGUCCCCUGAAAUAUUAAAACAAAAUACAAAGAAAAGAAUGUUCAAUAAUUAAACCUCUGGAAGAAGCACACAUGGGAGCAGAGCAAUGUCACUGAAUCUAGGAUGAGAGCUAAGGGUGUUUGAUGCCUGUGCUUACUUUGAAGAGUAGAUAAAACGGCAAUAAACCCUAAUCAUAAGACUUCAAAUUCUCUGUGGCACUAAUGUACUGUAAAUAUUGAUUUGCCUCUUCAGGUAAGAUGUCUGUUAAAUAAGUUGUAGCAUGAAUUAGAAAAAAAGAAUUAAAUAACAGAUAUGCACAUCUUGACUGUUAAAUAGACCAAAUAUGUUCUCCCACAAACUUAUGAGUAUAACUAGAAUUUUUCAAAAUGUUUAAUAUUUAUUAUUUAAUAUUAAAACAAUGAGCAUCUGAACAAGUUGAUCUCCCAU